rnacentral:lncRNA from 10 species
UGUCGAUCUCCUGAGCUCGUGAUUUGCCUGCCUCAGCCUCCCAAAGUGCUGGGAUUACAGAUGUGAGCCACUGCACCCAGCUGUGCCAAGCCAAGGAUUUUCAUAGAGAGGAGCAGCUGGAGCCCCAGCAGGACCUGGUGGUUACUCGUUUUGUCAUCUGUGAAAUUCCUUUCAGUACAUGGUGCUCCCAUCCCUUCCCAGCCACCAUCUCCUAGCCUCCUGAGAACCCUGAGCUUCACCAUGAAACUGAAGAAUCUUUCUAACUUCCUUCUUGACCUGGCCGGCCUGUGGCACCCAGCAUGCCCCGGGACACAGCACCGUGUCCUCCUUGAGCUGUCUGUGUGCCUUCCUAACAAGCCUGACAGCAAUCUGAGGGCAGGACGAGCUGACUUAUCCCUGCUUCUCUGAUGUCCACGCAUUGAGUUGAUUGGAGGGUCAACUCAUCAAAGCCACAGGGAAAUACAGGGGAGAGGGUUCUCCAGUCCUCCCAUGGGCUCAGGAGCUUUGUGACGUGGUGGCUAAAAGCACAGACUUAGGCCGGGCAUGGUGGCUCGCACCUGUAAUCCCGGCACUUUGGGAGGCCAAGGUGGAUGCAUCACCUGAAGUCAGGAGUCCAAGACCAGCCUGACCAACAUGGAGAAACCCCAUCUCUACUAAAAACACAAAAUUAGCCGGGCAUGGUGGCACAUGCCUGUAAUCCCAGCUACUCGGGAGGCUGAGGCAGGAGAAUAGCUUGAACCUGGGGGGCGGAGGUUGCAGUGAGCUGAGAUUGUGCAAUUGCACUCCAGUCUGGGCAACAAGAGCGAAACUCCGUCUCAAUAAGUAAAUAAAUAAAUAAAAAUAAAAGCA